AUUGAACGCUGGCGGCAGGCUUAACACAUGCAAGUCGAGCGGGGUGAUGGUGCUUGCACUAUCACUUAGCGGCGGACGGGUGAGUAAUGCUUAGGAAUCUGCCUAUUAGUGGGGGACAACAUCCCGAAAGGGAUGCUAAUACCGCAUACGUCCUACGGGAGAAAGCAGGGGAUCACUUGUGACCUUGCGCUAAUAGAUGAGCCCAAGUCGGAUUAGCUAGUUGGUGGGGUAAAGGCCUACCAAGGCGACGAUCUGUAGCGGGUCUGAGAGGAUGAUCCGCCACACUGGGACUGAGACACGGCCCAGACUCCUACGGGAGGCAGCAGUGGGGAAUAUUGGACAAUGGGGGGAACCCUGGUCCAGCCAUGCCGCGUGUGUGAAGAAGGCCUUAUGGUUGUAAAGCACUUUAAGCGAGGAGGAGGCUCUUUUGGUUAAUACCCAAGAUGAGUGGACGUUACUCGCAGAAUAAGCACCGGCUAACUCUGUGCCAGCCGCCGCAGUAA
rnacentral:rRNA from 1 species